rnacentral:rRNA from 1 species
UACAGAGGUCUCAAGCGUUGUUCGGAUUCAUUGGGCGUAAAGGGUGCGUAGGUGGCGUGGUAAGUCGGGUGUGAAAUUUCGGAGCUUAACUCCGAAACUGCAUUCGAUACUGCCGUGCUUGAGGACUGGAGAGGAGACUGGAAUUUACGGUGUAGCAGUGAAAUGCGUAGAGAUCGUAAGGAAGACCAGUGGCGAAGGCGGGUCUCUGGGCCGAUACUGACGCUGAGGAGCGAAAGCGUGGGGAGCGAACAGG